UUGCACACGCCACACGAUGCUUCAAUUAAUAAGAAAAGGAUACACCAAACCUGAGAUUAUACGCAAAUUGUAGUCACACGACAGCUUCUGGUGCCUCGCACUAUGUUUGUCGAGAUUAUUGGGAUUGCUGAUGGGGCUCAGUCUGUUUAUGCUCAUAUUGGGACUAAUUUUUGAGAUAAUUUCGGGAGUGAAGCAGCUCUGUUUAUAAAGUGAUCAAGUGCCUUUGUUCUGUGAUUCACCUGGUUUUGCGAUAACCUGGCCAGGAUCUCCUCUAAUUUCAUUAGCUUGAAUCAGGAAAGUAUGAUGAAUACGGUGGAGAAAUCUUUGGAUUUCUUGUCUCUGAACUUUGGCGGAGGGUUUAAGAAAGGGAAACUGAAACUUCCACUGCCAAUUUAUACUACAUAUGGGGAGUCUUUACCCACUAAUUUGGUUUUACAUGGUCCUUUUGAUGAAGUUUGGCCUUGUACAUUUAAGAAAGGUGAUAAUCGUAUCCAUGGUUUGGAAAAAUGGAUGGAUUAUUAUAAAAUAAAGCCUUAUAAUGUUGUGCUUCUAACCUAUCUCAGCGGGGCUGAUUUUCGGUUUGUGAUUUUUUCACAAUAUGCUGUUGAAAUGAACUAUCUAUCUGUUGUUUCGGGAAGUGGGAGUAAGAACUCUGCGUACGAAGUUGACAAACUUGCUUGCAAAUACAAAUUUAAUGGGUUUUGUAAUUUUGUUGGGAAGUACAAUCUUCUAGUUGAACCAGCUCACUUGGUUGAAGAAUCUUUUCCAUAGAUAUUGUUGAAUGAAGCAAUUGAGCAGUUGGGAUUGGAUCAGUCCGUACGUUCAAUCCUACUGGGAUUUGAAGAGCAUCAGUGGUCUAUUAGUCUAAACUGGUAUAAUGAUGUAGUGCAAUUUGGGAGUGAGGGGCUUGAAUUUGUGAAUGCAGCAACCAUUUCUGUUGGUGAUCUAAUUGUUCUGCAGGAGCAGGAGACUAAAUACAUCCGUUAUUACGUUAUUACAGAGUAGUUGUUUUUGAUUCUAACACAGUUUCAAA